rnacentral:rRNA from 1 species
GACAGAGGGUGCAAACGUUGUUCGGAAUUACUGGGCGUAAAGGGCUCGUAGGCGGCCAACUAAGUCGGAUGUGAAAUCCCCAGGCUUAACCUGGGAACUGCAUCCGAUACUGGAUGGCUUGAAUUCGGGAGAGGGAUGCAGAAUUCCAGGUGUAGCGGUGAAAUGCGUAGAUAUCGUAAGGAAGACCAGUGGCGAAGGCGGGUCUCUGGACAGUUCCUGACGCUGAGGCACGAAGGUCAGGGGAGCAAACGGG